rnacentral:tRNA from 1 species
GUCCGGAUGGCCGAGCGGUCUAACGUGCUGUGUUCAAGUUGCAGUCUCCCCUGGAGGCGUGGGUUCGAAUCCCACUUCUGACA